CAGACAUCAUCUCUGCGCUUAGGGUAUCCAAUUCCGUUAGCUAUAAACUCAGAGUCGGAAAAGACCACAGACUCAAUUCAAAUUUUAAUUAAAUGACUUUAUUAAUUGCUGAUAGCAGGCCAGAAGUCUUAAAGCCAAAUCAAAGAUGUGUCCUGCAAAAGAGGCUAGAUGAAGGAUGUUUAAAGACUUGGAGAUGCAGAUUUUGGAGAUGGCCCAGCUGAUUUUCAGUUUUGCUUUGGUCCAGUAUUUCUUCACUGUGCUCAAUUUCUUCUCUUUUGGAAUGGCAAUAUAUAUUCUGUAUCAUUGUAUGUGAUUAGCUUUUAGAUUUUGAUUUUUACAUCAAUAGCUGCUAAGAAAUUGCGUUGAAUCUCAGAAAAGAUUUUGGAGAUUUAAAUAGUGUUGAGAUAUGGGAACUUUAGAAUUUGCACUGAAUACAUAUUUACAUUAUGGGAUGGCUACCAGCCCAUGGGGACCUGAGAGUGGACCCUUGGACUAUCCAAAUCUGCAGAUGUUCAAGCCUUUAUACAAACAUUUUCUCAUGUACCUGUCCACAGCCUCCUGCAUUCUUUAAAGCAUGUCCCAGUUUUCAUCCACAGCUGCAUGAAGCCACAAACGCAGAAUCUGUAACCAUGAGGCCCAGCUGUGUAAUCCUUUUCUUCAGGU
rnacentral:lncRNA from 1 species